rnacentral:rRNA from 1 species
CCUACGGGUGGCAGCAGUAGGGAAUAUUGCUCAAUGGGGGAAACCCUGAAGCAGCAACGCCGCGUGGAGGAAGAAGGUUUUCGGAUUGUAAACCUCUUUUGUUAGAGAAGAAAAUGACGGUACCUAACUAAUAAGCACCGGCUAACUCCGUGCCAGCAGCCGCGGUAAUACGGAGGGUGCAAGCGUUAUCCGGAUUCACUGGGCGUAAAGGGCGCGUAGGCGGGUUAGCAAGUCAGUUGUGAAAUCCUAAGGCUUAACCAUAGAACUGCAUUUGAAACUGUUAUUCUAGAGUAUGGGAGAGGUAGGUGGAAUGCUUGGUGUAGGGGUAAAAUGCGUAGAGAUCAAGAAGAAUACUCAUUGCGAAGGCGGCCUACUAGAACAUAACUGACGCUGAGGCGCGAAAGCGUGGGGAGCAAACAGGAUUAGAUACCCGGGUAGUC